UACGUAGGGUGCAAGCGUUAAUCGGAAUUACUGGGCGUAAAGCGUGCGCAGGCGGUUUUGUAAGUCUGUCGUGAAAUCCCCGGGCUCAACCUGGGAAUUGCGUUGGAGACUGCAAGGCUUGAAUCUGGCAGAGGGGGGUAGAAUUCCACGUGUAGCAGUGAAAUGCGUAGAGAUGUGGAGGAACACCGAUGGCGAAGGCAGCCCCCUGGGUCAAGAUUGACGCUCAUGCACGAAAGCGUGGGGAGCAAACAGG
rnacentral:rRNA from 1 species